UACGUAGGGGGGCAAGCGUUGUCCGGAAUCAUUGGGCGUAAAGAGCGUGUAGGUGGCUCGGUAAGUCCGCUGUGAAAGCCCCAGGGCUCAACCCUGGAAGUGCACUCGAUACUGCGAGGCUAGAGUCCCGGAGAGGGAUGGUGGAACUCUCGGUGUAGAGGUGAAAUUCGUAGAUAUCGAGAAGAACACCGGUGGCGAAG
rnacentral:rRNA from 1 species